GACGAACGCUGGCGGCGUGCCUAAUACAUGCAAGUAGGACGCAGUUGCGAACGGGUGAGUUACGCGUCGGUAACUGCCUAUUAGAGGGGGGUAACUAUUGGAAACGAUAGCUAAUACCGCAUACUAGUAGAUGGACCGGCGUUGUAUUAGCUAGUAGGUAGGGUAAUGGCAUACCUAGGCAACGAUACAUAGCCGACCUGGGAGGGUGAUCGGCCAAAUUGGGACUGAGACACGGCCCAGACUCCUACGGGAGGCAGCAGUAGGGAAUCUUCGGCAAUGGGGGGAACCCUGACCGAGCAACGCCGCGUGAGUGAAGAAGGUUUUCGGAUCGUAAAGCUCUGUUGUUAAGGAAGCGGUACUUAACCAGAAAGGGACGGCUAACUACGUGCCAGCAGCCGCGGUAAUAC
rnacentral:rRNA from 1 species